UGACCUCAAAUCAGGUAGGACUACCCGCUGAACUUAAGCAUAUCAAUAAGCGGAGGAAAAGAAACUAACAAGGAUUCCCCUAGUAACUGCGAGUGAAGCGGGAAGAGCUCAAAUUUUGAAUCUGGCGGUCCUUGCGGCCGUCCGAGUUGUAAUCUAGAGAAGCGUUUUCCGCGCUGGACCGUGUACAAGUCUCCUGGAAGGGAGCGUCGUAGAGGGUGAGAAUCCCGUCUUUGACACGGACUACCAGGGCUAUGUGAUGCGCUCUCGACGAGUCGAGUUGUUUGGGAAUGCAGCUCAAAUCGGGUGGUAAAUUCCAUCUAAAGCUAAAUACAGGCGAGAGACCGAUAGCGAACAAGUACCGUGAGGGAAAGAUGAAAAGAACUUUGGAAAGAGAGUUAAACAGUACGUGAAAUUGCUGAAAGGGAAACGCUUGAUGUCAGUCGCGUCGGCCGGGGAUCAACCUUGCUUGAUUGCUCGGUGUACUUCCUGGUCGACGGGUCAGCAUCAGUUUCGAUCGCCGUACAAGGGCGGAGGGAAUGUGGCACUCUUCGCGGAGUGUGUUAUAGCCUUUUGUCGUAUGCGGUGCUUGGGACUGAGGAACUCAGCACGACCU
rnacentral:rRNA from 1 species